AGGAAGCAAAUCGAAGCCAUGCACAAAGUUUUUCAGUACUUCUGGGUGCCCAUUUGGUGAGGGAUGCCAUUUCUUGCAUUAUGUUCCUGGUGGAUUCAAAGCUGUGUCUCAGAUGCUUCACCUUGGUGGCAACCCGCCCAUUCCACCAGCAUCUAGAAAUGCAGGAGUCCCACCAUCUUUUCCAGAUGGCGCAUCUCCUUUAGCAGUGAAGACCCGUUUGUGCAAUAAAUACAAUACAGCUGAAGGUUGUAAGUUUGGGGAUAAAUGCCACUUUGCGCAUGGUGAGUGGGAGCUUGGGAAACCUCCUGGUCCAUCCUUUGAAGAUCCUCGUUCAAUUGGUCCAGUUUCAGGUAGGAUGGGCCGUCAAAUGGAGCCUCCUCACCAAGGUUUUGGUGCUGCUUCCAGCUUUGGGGCCUCUGCCACUGCUAAGAUCAGUAUCGAUGCUUCACUUGCUGGAGCCAUCAUUGGGAAAAAUGGUGUAAACUCGAAGCAAAUCUGUCGUCUUACAGGGGCCAAACUUUCAAUAAGGGAGCAUGAGACUGACCCCAACUUAAGGAAUAUUGAGUUAGAGGGUACAUUUGAUCAAAUCAAUCAAGCAAGCGCCAUGGUUCGUGAGCUUAUUGGGAAUGUCAGUCAAGCUUCUGGUGCUCCAAUGAAGAACCCUGUUAUACAUUCUGGUCCAACAAACAACUUCAAAACUAAGCUUUGUGAGAAUUUUGCUAAAGGAUCUUGCACUUUUGGGGAUAGGUGCCACUUUGCACAUGGAACUGAGGAAUUGCGCAAGCCAGGGAUGUGAACCUGUUCUCUAUUCCCUUUUUUCUUUUGUUAAAUCUUUUACUGCUCCUUUCCUCUGCUUUAGGACACAUUCUUGUUGUAGCCUGUGGGUAUUUGGUGUGUCUACCAAAUAUUUUUGUAUGCAAAGAUUAGACAGAUGCCAACCGUGAGAGCCUUUUCGGUAUUUUCUAUUCGGUAAAUUUUUUAUGAUUUGGGCUAUUUGCACUUUCGGCUGUACUAUGUUCAAACUUAUGGUAGGAACUUCCCAGAUUGAAUUCAUAAUAGGAGCUUCCAUAUUAAUAUUUUCACUCUACUCCAGAAUUAGGCUCACACCAACCCCAAUUAAUUUGGGAUCAAGGCAAUUAAGUUGUAGUUAUGUAUUGCUCGUUUUAUUUAAAUUUUUUGAAGCAUGUAUGG
rnacentral:misc_RNA from 1 species